UGUCUUCUUCCAUUUAUUACUGAGAUUUCUGGCGCCCCGUUUGGGGCCUGGCACAGCGUCCUGAUGGCCUCAUGCCUAGCUGGGCGGUAAAAGCUUCUGCUGCCAGUGGAUGAGGGCCGCCUAACGAAAUGUCCAAGCUGAACGGGGUCCAAGGCCUGCUGACCAAGCAAGUUUCCAGGCUCGUGCUCACCCCUGUUCCUCCAGCACACCUCUACCUCUGCCGGCUGGGAAAGCGUCUUCCAGGUGCUAACAAGAGAGCUAGUCUGGCCAUAUCACGAGGGGAAGCCGAAGCUCAGCAAAAUCAUUGCCAAGAGCCUGGGCAGGCUGAGGUCAGGUGAUCUUAAGGGCUGACGUGUGCAACCGGCAGAGAGAAAGAACUGGGUAAAACACACAAGUAAAGAGAAGUGCGAGAGGAGAAUCGUCCUGACAGAGAUGAAUUAGUUACGGGGCUAGCUCCCCGGGGUAAGAGCUGCCGCUUGGUUUUCCAACUCCUGAGCAGAAAACGGUGCAGAGGACGGGCGGAGACAAGGAGGGCUGCGGCAACGACCAAUAGGCGCUCCCCACCUCCGAGUCUCAUGAAGCUGAAUGAAGGACCUUGGAUGGAGGAAGAAAUUUUAAAAAAUAAUAGAGUUGGAAAGACUGAGCUGACUAAGGUACUGCAGGGAUCAAGAGGAACAGAGGCUCUGCGCCCUCACGCCGAGUGAGGAAAAUCGUUUCUUCCAGCCAAGAGACGCAGAGCUGAACGGUUCAGAGGUUUGAAUUCAGAGUUCAGGCUCGGCCACUUGGCAGUUGUGUGAACCUGAGACAAUCACUCAGACUUUCUAAGUCGCGAAAUGGGACUAAGAGCCCCAAUUUGUUGGCCAUUUCAAGAUAUGAAAUAAGGCUAACCCCAGUGCAGAGGGUUCUUGUAAAAACUGAAUGAGAGAAUUUGUAAAAACAGUGCCUAGCACGUGGUGUCAUGCUGGACCUGGCACUAGACUCAUCAGUUAUUCAUCAAUAAGGAAGAAGGACAAUGACAUUCAUUUUGACUGUCUGGACACUGUUACUGUAUCAUUUUGGGGGGACGAGUAAUUUCUACCUAUUAAAAGAGGUUGAUUUUAAACUUAAA